rnacentral:rRNA from 1 species
CCUACGGGUGGCAGCAGUAGGGAAUAUUGCUCAAUGGGGGAAACCCUGAAGCAGCAACGCCGCGUGGAGGAUGAAGGUUUUCGGAUCGUAAACCCCUGUUGUUAGAGAAGAUAAUGACGGUAUCUAACGAAUAAGCACUGGCUAAUACCGUGCCAGCAGCCGCGGUAAUACGGAGGGUGCAAGCGUUACGCGGAAUGACUGGGCGUAAAGAGCGCGUAGGCGGGAUAGCAAGUCAGAUGUGAAAUCCUAUGGCUUAACCAUAGAACUGCAUUUGAAACUGGUAUUCUAGAGUGUGGGAGAGGUAAGUGGAAUUCUUGGUGUAGGGGUGAAAUCCGUAGAGAUCAAGAGGAAUACUCGUUGCGAAGGCGACCUGCUAGAACAUAACUGACGCUGAUGCGCGAAAGCGUGGGGAGCAAACAGGAUUAGAUACCCCAGUAGUC